UUUCGAUGUUAAAAGUUGGAAAGGCACACAUGCUCUCCCAUCUGCGCUUCUAGACCGUCCACGACAAGGGGUCGAAUGACUCGAAUCCCAUGCACCAAGUCUGGAAAAUGCCGAGCAAGAAGUAUACGAGGAUGGAGUCGUGGCGACACUCGACCCCUACUAGAAACAAGUCUUCCGAAAACCCACCCGAUUCGCGCUCGUGGCUUCCCUCCACCAUUCCUUCCAGCCCUUCUUUUUCUACACCCGCGACCGUCGUCCCAAAUGCCACUGGUUCUACUAAUUUAACGCCACCCGGGAGCUCGGGUUCUCCUCCUCCAAGACCAUGACAUCCUUUGGUUCUACUCUUUUACUUUGGUCCGGUUUAUAUAAUUAGAGGUAGACUUCUACAUUGUUUUUAGAGAAGUUGAAAUUUGUAAAGACUAUUCAUUCAAAGAGUGACUCAAUGGUGGGUCGAUCUUUUGUGAAAGCAAAACAGACUUGAUUGUAAAUCUGGUUAGGGUGGAGGUCAGGUGGUACACUUCAAUGGUUGGGAGAAAAUCAAAUCACAUACGCCUUAUAUCAAUGCUCUCGGAGGUUGGAGUCACAAUAGUAAAGACUACUGAAUUUGUCCAAGGCCAUACAGAUCAAUGGGGGCUUGCUUGGUCAUUUUCCCUCCAUUGUAUCAACAGCAUCAGCUCAUGUGGCUUAGAAGAAUAUCUUCAUGCUUAAGAUGAUCACUGUGGUGCAAUCCUGAAGAAUGAAGUACUAUCUAUUGAUGAAGCUACAAGUUGUUGACUUGAACCAGAGAUGUCUAAUGGUUCAAGUUGUUUGCAACCUCCUUCAAAUAACUUAGGUUUUGCAUUUCGGUUUUUCAGCAAAACCCGGGGACAGCACUGGUGAAAGGACCAUUACAGCAUAGACAUAACCCAGUCUCAGGUUCCUCUCCCUCUGGCUUUAACACUUCUCAUAUCUCAUUUUUAUCUUUGACAAAAGGCUCUUAUUGUAGCAUUCUGAUAAUUUUCUAUAGUCUUUCAAUUCUUAAAAGAAUUCUGGAAAUAUUCUUUUUAACUUAUCUAUUCUCAAAAAAUCCUUCCUUCUACAGAUAUGGCCCUGUGCAUGCUUUUUCUGAUCUUAUUUUGCCUUUUUAUUUUUUCCUCACAUUUACAGCCAACGUUCUUUUUUGUCUCCCCCUCCCCUAAAUCUUGUGACACCUUGAAGCUCAGCUUUGUUAAGUAAUUAUUGGUCAUUGCCAAAGGUCUUUAGAUGGAAUAGCAUCUCCUUCUCUCAUUAAUAAGGGGCGCAAGGUUCAGUAAUGGGUUCGAUUUCUUUUGGGUGCUGAGGCGUAUAUACCUAUCAAUUCAUCACGAACCUUCAGAAAUCCUUUUUCCUUGUAACAUGCAAACCACAUCUGCAGGAAGAUCAACAGCUGGUUUUUCUUUAUUCGUUUUUUAAAAUUGUAAUAGAGUUAUAAGUUUAUCAUUAUUAUACACUACAACAUGCAUACAUUCAGAUGAAGAGAAUGCCUGCUCAAAGACCACAUAUUAUAAAUAGAAAUCAAGCUAAUUAACAAAAAGAGAAAAAAUACAAAUAGAAUCAUCUUGAGAUGUCUCCAUCUCUAAGAUAGUUGGAGGGCUUCCAAUAGGCCGCCUGAUCUUUCUUCUUCCUUCUCUUGAAAUGUUUGGACGCAGCCUUUGGCACUUUAGCCCUUGCCUUUGUGGUGGCUGGGUAACAAGUAUUCUUAAUGGGAAUUGGAGAUAGCUCAUACUCCAUUUUCUUCUUGUGCUUCAAUUUCAGAAGAUUAAUGAUCACUGUUGGAUGCAGUGGUGCUGAUCUUCUUCUUGACGUUGGAAGUGACUAUCUUGAGCUUGCUUAUGUUGCCCAAUCUAUGUCCAACUCCAUCCCGAAGCAGAGAUUUCUUGGUGUUAUGAAACCCAAAUCAAAGUCCAAGUCCAUGGGACUGUAAGCCCGUGUGACCAAAGAUAUUGAGCCCUGUGUGAAAUCGAAAGCCGAGUUGUUGGGGAACUUGCAGAGAAGCUCUUUUGACAUCAAUGUCUCCAAGUACUCCACUUGCUAGUGGCCACCACUAGCUAUGUUUUAACGUUUCAGGCCAUGAGUCUUCUUCACUGUUGUUCAUUCUACUUCGACUAAAGUUAGCAACUUGUCUUGCUUAUACUAAGGCCUCGUUUGGUAAUAUAGAUGAGAUGAGAUAAGAUGAAAGUUAAAAGUUGAAUAAAAUAUUGUUAGAAUAUAAUUUUUUAAUAUAAUUUUUGUUUUGAGAUUUGAAAAGUUGAAUUUUUUUUUGUAUUUUGUUUGGGAGUUUGGAAAAAUUAUAAUAAUUAGAUAAGAUGAGAUUGUUUGUGAAAACAAACCAGGCUUAGAGCUAUUAAUUCUGGGUUGGCCUCAACAGUUAUGACAUAGUAAGCUCUUUUUUAUUUCAUCAUCCUGAAUUUUGGUUCACGUCCAAUCUUUCUGACUACAAGUACGUGGCAACUUUUAUUUAAUUAAAGACUUGAAGGAAGUUAUUAAAAGGCAGCUUAAUAGAUUCUGUAAAGUCACAUACAACAAGAGGUGGUAUAUGCUGUUAUCCAAUAUUGAGAAUUGAUCUGCAUUGCUUAGAUCUUUGACUUCAUGUACUUCCAAUUUUUUUUUUCCGGAAAAAAAAUGAGAUCUUUGUGUUGUAGGCUAUGUUCUUGCAGGUUACGACCAUGAAGUUGCUCUAUCUCAAGCAAAAGGAUGUUUGAGCAGCGAUGCUUCAGUUGCACCUUUUUUCAUUCUCCUUGUUUGUCCUUUUUGUCGUCACCACGUUUGGAGCUACAUCUUUGAUUUUCUAAUUGACUAUUACCUUUUCAUGUUUCCAGUUUCCUUUCCCCUUACCACACUGUACUCAAUAUGAACAUUACGCUUUCAUGGUUAACAUUAGCCCAUUCAUUGGGAUUUGAUUGGUUUAUCAUUCUCAAGAACAGAAGAUCUGUCUCUCCCAUCUGUCUUGUGGUGAUCAGUUCUUUGAGCCUGAGAUAACUGACAAAGAUGUCUCGAUCAAUAAAGUUUGAUGCACAAGGGCUCCAUUCAUCAA